AUUGAACGCUGGCGGCAGGCCUAACACAUGCAAGUCGAGCGGAUGAAGGGAGCUUGCUCCUGGAUUCAGCGGCGGACGGGUGAGUAAUGCCUAGGAAUCUGCCUGGUAGUGGGGGAUAACGUCCGGAAACGGGCGCUAAUACCGCAUACGUCCUGCGGGAGAAAGUGGGGGAUCUUUGGACCUCUCGCUAUCAGAUGAGCCUAGGUCGGAUUAGCUAGUUGGUGGGGUAAAGGCCUACCAAGGCGACGAUCCGUAACUGGUCUGAGAGGAUGAUCAGUCACACUGGAACUGAGACACGGUCCAGACUCCUACGGGAGGCAGCAGUGGGGAAUAUUGGACAAUGGGCGAAAGCCUGAUCCAGCCAUGCCGCGUGUGUGAAGAAGGUCUUCGGAUUGUAAAGCACUUUAAGUUGGGAGGAAGGGCAGUAAGUUAAUACCUUGCUGUUUUGACGUUACCAACAGAAUAAGCACCGGCUAACUUCGUG
rnacentral:rRNA from 1 species